AUUGAACGCUGGCGGCAGGCCUAACACAUGCAAGUUGAGCGGAUGACGGGAGCUUGCUCCUUGAUUCAGCGGCGGACGGGUGAGUAAUACCUAGGAAUCUGCCUGGUAGUGGGGGACAACGUUUCGAAAGGAACGCUAAUACCGCAUACGUCCUACGGGAGAAAGCAGGGGACCUUCGGGCCUUGCGCUAUCAGAUGAGCCUAGGUCGGAUUGGCUUGUUGGUGAGGUAAUGGCUCACCAAGGAGACGAUCCGUAACUGGUCUGAGAGGAUGAACAGUCACACUGGAACUGAGACACGGUCCAGACUGCUACGGGAGGCAGCAGUGGGGAAUAUUGGACAAUGGGCGAAAGCCUGAUCCAGCCAUGCCGCGUGUGUGAAGAAGGUCUUCGGAUUGUAAAGCACUUUAAGUUGGGAGGAAGGGCAGUAAGCUAAUACCUUGCUGUUUUGACGUUACCGACAGAAUAAGCACCGGCUAACUCUGUGCCAGCCGCCGCGGUAA
rnacentral:rRNA from 1 species